rnacentral:rRNA from 1 species
GAUGAACGCUGGCGGCGUGCCUAGUACAUGCAAGUCGAGCGAACAGAUGAGGUGCUUGCUCCUCUGACGUUAGCGGCGGACGGGUGAGUAACACGUGGAUAACCUACCUAUAAGACUGGGAUAACUUCGGGAAACCGGAGCUAAUACCGGAUAAUAUAUUGAACCGCAUGGUUCAAUAGUGAAAGACGGUUUUGCUGUCACUUAUAGAUGGAUCCGCGCCGCAUUAGCUAGUUGGUAAGGUAACGGCUUACCAAGGCAACGAUGCGUAGCCGACCUGAGAGGGUGAUCGGCCACACUGGAACUGAGACACGGUCCAGACUCCUACGGGAGGCAGCAGUAGGGAAUCUUCCGCAAUGGGCGAAAGCCUGACGGAGCAACGCCGCGUGAGUGAUGAAGGUCUUCGGAUCGUAAAACUCUGUUAUUAGGGAAGAACAAAUGUGUAAGUAACUAUGCACGUCUUGACGGUACCUAAUCAGAAAGCCACGGCUAACUACGUG